CUAGGAAUAUUGGGCAAUGGGCGAAAGCCUGACCCAGCAACACCGCGUGAAGGACGAAGGCCUUCGGGUUGUAAACUUCUUUUCGAGGGAAUGAGAAAGGACAGUACCCUCGGAAUAAGGCCCGGCUAACUACGUGCCAGCAGCCGCGGUAAUACGUAGGGGCCAAGCGUUAUCCGGAUUUACUGGGCGUAAAGCGCAUGUAGGCGGUCGAUCAAGUCGGAUGUGAAAGCUCCUGGCUUAACUGGGAGAGGUCAUUCGAAACUAGUCGGCUGGAGGGUGGUAGAGGAGAGCGGAAUUCCAGGUGUAGCGGUGAAAUGCGUAGAUAUCUGGAGGAACACCAGUGGCGAAAGCGGCUCUCUGGACCAUUCCUGACGCUGAGAUGCGAAAGCCAGGGGAGAGAACGGG
rnacentral:rRNA from 1 species